rnacentral:lncRNA from 1 species
CACAUUUACAAAUACAGACAACAAAGAUAUCUUAAUGCAUUAACUGUAAAAUAUGAAUUUCUAUGAAAAUAUUUGUAUUAUAUGACAAAACACAUUUUUCUUAUAUCUGCUAUAAUAUGGUAAGAACGGUAAUAUUUGUUUUCUUUCCACAGUUUGUACCGUCCCCUCAGAGCCUGUAACAAUUAAAGAGAAUAACACCGCUGACACAGUCGUUGUUCAUAUUAACACAACAACAAAGGAUGUAACGCUGAAUCUCACAGAGAAUCCUGGGAAUGCCUUCAAUCUGAGAGGUUCAGAAUUGAUAGCAAAGAAAGGCCUGGACUUUGAAACACUUUCAGGUCCAGAAGAACUAACUGUCCAGAUCCGAUGUAAUAAAACUGGCUACAGAAGUAUCACUCUGACUGUGAUUGUUCGUGUUGUGAAUAUCAAUGACAACCCUCCAUCAUUUGACAAGAGCGAGUAUACACUUGACAUAAAUGAGGUGAGAUUCAACAUUUUAAAUAAUUGUUGAUCCGGGUACAUGUUCUUCUUGGCAAAAUCACGAUUACAUACAUAGUAAGUGAAGUCAGACAACUUGCUCAUCAUUUUUUAAAUCUACUGUCAAAGUGAGGAUGCUGCCAUUCUAGUCCAUUCUAAUGCCAUUCUAAUGUUGCAUUUUGUGUGUAUUGCACAGCUUACACCAGUUAAUAGCAGCAUUGCCCUGAUUGAAGCAAUAGAUGAUGAUUCUGAGGUUCUGUAUUAUUCUAUGGAACCAACUGUGAAUACAUACUUCAGACUUGAGACCAUGUACACACCAAGCAUCCUUGUGAACAAGAUUUUAGAUUACGAUGUCAUCCAACAGGUGAAACUGAUCUUGUAUGUGCAGGAUACUCUACCUCCAUCACAAUCGGGUGAACUCUCUUUCACAGCUUCAGCAACCAUCAUCGUCAAUAUUAUAGACAUUGAUAACCGUCCUCCCUGGUUUCAACCAUGCACAAGAGUAAGCACUGGUAAUGCCAAACUCUGCCUGAGCCUGGGCUACAAGUGCAGGGUGAACCUAACAGAGAAACAGGAUGGGGC